rnacentral:rRNA from 1 species
AGCAGCCGCGGUAAUUCCAGCUCCAAUAGUGUAUAUUAAAGUUGCUGUGAUUAAAACGCUCGUAGUUGAAUUAUAAAGCAUCCAGUGGGCGAAUCUUUGCUUGCAAAGGGGAAGUUUCACAAUAUAAAGGUGCGGAGGCGAUGCUUCUUCGGAAGUGUCAUUACUUUGAAAAAAAUAGGGUGUUUAAAGCAAAUCUUAUGUUAAUGAAUAAUGAAGCAUGGGACAAUAUCGAGGGGAUCCUUCGGGAUUUCGAGAUAAGGAUUAAGAGGAACAAUUGGGGUGAUUCAGAAAAUAACGGGAGAGGUAAAAUUCCAUGAUCGCUAUAAGAUGCACGAGAGCGAAAGCAUUUCACUCAAUUGCAUUCAUUAAUCAAGAACGAAAGUUA